rnacentral:rRNA from 1 species
AGCUUGUUGAUUUUUUAUAACAGGUCUUUUCUGCCCGGUGUUAAAUAAACGGCCGCGGUAUCUUGACCGUGCAAAGGUAGCAUAAUCAUUUGUCUUUUAAUUGAGGACUGGAAUGAAAGAAAGUUUGAAGUUUUAGCUGUCUCUUUUUUGUUAUUAUAAUUUGCUGUUUUUGUGAARAAGCAAAAUUUCUUGAAAAAGACAAAAAGACCCUAUUAAGCUUUAUCUUUUUGUUUUUUUUAUUCUUAUAAAAACAAAAAGAUUUGGUUGGGGUGACUAAAGAAGAUUAAUAUCUUCUUUUUUUAUCAAAAACAAUGUGUUUAACAUUGACCCAAAAUUUUUUGGUUAAAAAAAUUAGUUACUAUAGGGAUAACAGCGUAAUCUUUUCAUAAAGUUCUUAUUAAAGAAAAGGGUUGCGACCUCGAUGUUGACUUAUUUUAUCCUAUAAAGGUGUAGUAGCUGUAAGGGUUGGUCUGUUCGACCAUUAAAAUAAU